UCUUUACAUUAAUUUUUUUUUUCUAUAAAUUUAUGAAUGUAAAUAAAAGAUAAAAUAAUAAAUGUUAUAUUGGGGUGAUAAGAAUAUAAAUAUAAACUGUUCUAAAUUAUAAUCAAAGUUGUUUGAAAAUAAUAGAUCCUUUUUAGAGAUUAAAAGUUUAAGUU
rnacentral:rRNA from 1 species